rnacentral:rRNA from 1 species
CAAUAGCGUAUAUUAAAGUUGUUGCAGUUAAAAAGCUCGUAGUUGGAUUUCUGUCAAGAGCAAGCGGUCCGCUCCUUUGGAGUGUGUACUUGCGUCGUUUUUGACUUUCUUCUGAACCUUGCUGUUUCCCCUUCAUUGGGUGAGGCAGUUUGGCAGAACCUUUACUUUGAGAAAAUUAGAGUGUUUCAAGCAGGCUAGCGCCUUGAAUACUGCAGCAUGGAAUAAUAAGAUAGGAUUUCAGUUCUAUUUUAUUGGUUCUAAGGACUGAAAUAAUGAUUAAUAGGGACAGUUGGGGGCAUUCGUAUUUAACUGUCAGAGGUGAAAUUCUUAGAUUUGUUAAAGACGAACUACUGCGAAAGCAUUUGCCAAGGAUGUUUUCAUUGA